AUGAAUUCUGAUUGAUGAAAUUAUUAAAUUGUUGUAUCAUUAGAUGUCUCACUGUAUGUGCAGUCAGCCAUGGGGCUGUAUUACGUAUUUCCAGGACCAGGGACAAUGGAUAGUUGUUAAGGCUAACGACUGUACUCCAGUUGAGAAACUAGCCCAAGCAAGUUUGUCUGCAGACGGGUAGGAUUUGGAGCAGCAGAAUUUUCCCAGCAGCAGAACAAAGGAACCAGGUGUUAGUGGAAACUUACCGGAGAACUGAAAUACACGGAGGAACUAAUAUCUACAACAGGUGGGUCAAGCGUUUGUGUAUCUGUCACAUCGAAGCUAGGAUCUAUCUGUCAAAAACAAAUUUUGCUGUUAGUAUUUCUGUAUCAAUAGAAAAUGGAAACAAGACUGAGCCCACAAAGACCAUAUGUUAAAUGAGGGCAUCCCUAUCAACACAGCUACAGGUUAUGAGGCAACAGUGGUUUCUGUGGUAGGUCAAGCGUCUGAACAGAAGUCACGAUGUCUGAAAAACAUGCAAAAACUGAUUCAUGAUAUUGAAGAGAGGAGAUAAUAUGGAUCUCCAUGUGCAGCCUUUGGAAAGAAAGACCAAUUACCCAUUAUGACACAGAGCUCUGAUGGAGAGGAACAACUGGAGCCACUGAAUGCUGAGCCCUGCACUCCUCCUAUGUCAUGUAGGUCAUAUAUUAUUCCAAAAUAUGCUGAAGACUUUGGAAACUUAUCCCCUAUGCAUCAAUGACUCCUAAGCAUCAAACUCAAAAUUAUUAUAA